rnacentral:rRNA from 1 species
AUUGAACGCUGGCGGCAGGCCUAACACAUGCAAGUCGAACGAGUGGCGGACGGGUGAGUAAUGUCUGGGAAACUGCCUGGUGGAGGGGGAUAACUACUGGAAACGGUAGCUAAUACCGCAUACCAUCGGAUGUGCCCAGAUGGGAUUAGCUAGUGGGUGGGGUAAAGGCUCACCAAGGCGACGAUCCGUAGCUGGUUUGAGAGGAUGACCAGCCACACUGGGACUGAGACACGGCCCAGACUCCUAAGGGAGGCAGCAGUGGGGAAUAUUGGACAAUGGGGGAAAGCCUGAUGCAGCCAGGCCGCGUGUAUGAUGAAGGCCUUCGGGUUGUAAAGUACUUUCGGCAGGGAGGCGGUAUCCGCAGAAUAAGCACCGGCUAACUACGUGCCAGCAGCCGCGGUAAUUC